CCUACGGGGGGCUGCAGUGGGGAAUAUUGGACAAUGGGGGCAACCCUGAUCCAGCCAUGCCGCGUGUGUGAAGAAGGCCCUCGGGUUGUAAAGCACUUUCAGUGAGGAAGAACGCCUGGUGGUUAAUACCCAUCAGGAAAGACAUCACUCACAGAAGAAGCACCGGCUAACUCCGUGCCAGCAGCCGCGGUAAUACGGAGGGUGCGAGCGUUAAUCGGAAUUACUGGGCGUAAAGCGCGCGUAGGUGGCUUGAUAAGCCGGUUGUGAAAGCCCCGGGCUCAACCUGGGAACGGCAUCCGGAACUGUCAAGCUGGAGUGCAGGAGAGGAAGGUAGAAUUCCCGGUGUGGCGGUGAAAUGCGUAGAGAUCGGGAGGAAUACCAGUGGCGAAGGCGGCCUUCUGGACUGACACUGACACUGAGGUGCGAAAGCGUGGGUAGCAAACAGGAUGAGAGACCCCUGUAGUC
rnacentral:rRNA from 1 species